rnacentral:rRNA from 1 species
UAAUACGUAGGGUGCGAGCGUUAAUCGGAAUUACUGGGCGUAAAGGGUGCGCAGGCGGUUCUGCAAGUCAGGCGUGAAAGCCCCGGGCUUAACCUGGGAAUGGCGCUUGAAACUACAGGACUGGAGUAUGGCAGAGGGAGGUGGAAUUCCACGUGUAGCGGUGAAAUGCGUAGAGAUGUGGAGGAACACCGAUGGCGAAGGCAGCCUCCUGGGCCAAUACUGACGCUCAUGCACGAAAGCGUGGGGAGCAAACAGGAUUAGAUACCCUGGUAGUCCACGCCCUAAACGAUGAUGACUAGUUGUUGGAGGAGUUAAAUCCUUUAGUAACGCAGCUAACGCGCGAAGUCAUCCGCCUGGGGAGUACGGUCGCAAGAUUA